rnacentral:rRNA from 1 species
AGUGGCGGACGGGUGAGUAAUGCUUGGGAAUCUGCCUGUCAGUGGGGGACAACCCGGGGAAACUCGGGCUAAUACCGCAUACGCUCCACGGAGGAAAGCGGGGGACCGAAAGGCCUCGCGCUGACAGAUGAGCCCAAGUCGGAUUAGCUAGUUGGUGGGGUAAAGGCCUACCAAGGCGACGAUCCGUAACUAGUCUGAGAGGACGAUCAGCCACACUGGGACUGAGACACGGCCCAGACUCCUACGGGAGGCAGCAGUGGGGAAUAUUGGACAAUGGGGGCAACCCUGAUCCAGCAAUGCCGCGUGUGUGAAGAAGGCCUGCGGGUUGUAAAGCACUUUUGGCAGGGAAGAAAAGCCUCGGGAUAACACCCCGGGGUCUUGACGUAACCUGCAGAAAAAGCACCGGCUAACUCUGUGCCAGCAGCCGCGGUAAUACAGAGGGUGCAAGCGUUAAUCGGAAUUACUGGGCGUAAAGCGCGCGUAGGUGGUUUGGUAAGUCGGUUGUGAAAUCCCCGGGCUUAACCUGGGAAUUGCAGUCGAUACUGCCUGACUCGAGUGCGGGAGAGGGAAGCGGAAUUUCCGGUGUAGCGGUGAAAUGCGUAGAUAUCGGAAGGAACACCAGUGGCGAAGGCGGCUUCCUGGCCCAACACUGACACUGAGGCGCGAAAGCGUGGGUAGCGAACAGGAUUAGAUACCCUGGUAGUCCACGCCGUAAACGAUGAGAACUAGAUGUUG